rnacentral:lncRNA from 1 species
CUCAGCCCCUAAUUGGAAUUUCUAUUCCAGUUUACCUUAAAUAUGAAAAUUUAAUCUAGGACAAAUUGAAAUUUUGUCAGUAUUCAAUAUUUUUCUUAUCGCAGAAGUCAGCAUUUCAAGACAAGUGUUUUUCUUCCAGCUAAAUUAAGAUCUGUCUUUUUCUACAAAUAAAUCAUUUCUAUUUCUUGACAGUGCUGCUUUCUUCGUACUUAAGUGUUUUAUAAACUUUAUAAAUUGGGUCUUUUCGUGGCGUUUUCUAAUGUAUUGUUUCACUACAUUUUUAGCCAUUCAUUCUGACUUCUGUUGCUCUUUCAAUCCUUUUUAAACUUUAGGGUUUUUUACAUAUUCAAACAUAUAUAAACAGUGAUUCAUUUUCCUGCUCCAUUCCGAGACUCCUGCUCUGCGUUAAUGUCUUCCCGCCUGCUGUGGAGCCAGAACUGUUGAGCACAGUGGGCAGCAAUACUGGGAAGGGCGAGGGAGCUUGCCUAGAAGCCCUGGGUUCUAUCCCCAGCACAAUUACAAAGAAGAGUGAGGAAAAUAGGUCAGGGGGGAGGAAGGGAGGAAAACUGCUUAGCAAAGCACCUGUUGCAUCUCAAGUGCCACCCCUGUGAAUGACAUUGGCUCAUUUCAUAGAGAAAUGCAUCUUUGGAUUCCAAGCUGUUUUAAAACCUCAGAACUGGAGUUCAGUCUUACCAAGUGCCUGCCAGCCUUUGUGGUGAUUGUGUCAUGCUUUCAUUUCCUUCUUUUGACUAUUGAUAUGAGACAUUGUUAUUGAUCAGAACACCUUCACAUUCUUGAAACCAGCCAUGACUUUGGAUGGCAGCGCCUUCAUAUACAGGCUUCUACUGAGUCUCAUAAAAAUUCUGUAAGAGUCACGUGUGGUGGGGCUCACCUGUCAUUCCAACCACUCGGAAGGCUGAGACAGGAGGAUCACAAGUUUGAGGCCAACCUGGGCAGUGAGACCCUGUCUCAAAGUAAAAACUAAAAAGAGCUGAGAACAUAGUGCAUUGGUAGAAUGACCCUGGGUUCAAUCCUCAGUACCAAAAGAAAAGAGAAGAAAAAUUUUCAAAA